rnacentral:rRNA from 1 species
GAUGAACGCUGGCGGCGUGCCUAAUACAUGCAAGUCGAGCGAACGGACGAGAAGCUUGCUUUUCUGAUGUUAGCGGCGGACGGGUGAGUAACACGUGGAUAACCUACCUAUAAGACUGGGAUAACUUCGGGAAACCGGAGCUAAUACCGGAUAAUAUUUUGAACCGCAUGGUUCAAAAGUGAAAGACGGUCUUGCUGUCACUUAUAGAUGGAUCCGCGCUGCAUUAGCUAGUUGGUAAGGUAACGGCUUACCAAGGCAACGAUGCAUAGCCGACCUGAGAGGGUGAUCGGCCACACUGGAACUGAGACACGGUCCAGACUCCUACGGGAGGCAGCAGUAGGGAAUCUUCCGCAAUGGGCGAAAGCCUGACGGAGCAACGCCGCGUGAGUGAUGAAGGUCUUCGGAUCGUAAAACUCUGUUAUUAGGGAAGAACAUAUGUGUAAGUAACUGUGCACAUCUUGACGGUACCCAAUCAGAAAGCCACGGCUAACUACGUG